UCGUUAAAAGUUUUAUCGGGGAUAAUUAAUGCACUUGGUUCCCAUAUUUACUCGAUUUUGUCACGUAUUCUGGCUAACACAAUCAAGUAGCCUACAACGAUCAAGUAGUCCCCUGAUGUUUACAUGCGACGAACAUUUGUGACAGCAAACCGAAGACAUACAAUCGAUUUUUCUUUCAAGUUUCUUAAAUAUUGCAAAAUUAAACUAUUUAUGGAUUUAAUUUGUCACUGACCUGAUUAUAAUAUACAUUCAUACCACAAAUAUCGGCCGGAAAAGCGCCGACGCAUGUUGUGAUAUAUGGAACAGAGACAUGGUAAGAAGCGUUUGUUGGGAUAAAAUUUCGUCGGGUCUUAAAUUCGUGGAUUGACCUAUCCACGAAAACCACGAAAAUUCGUGCCCCACGAAUAAUGAUGAUUUCACAGUAUAUUUGAUAAACAGGUAUGAAUUGACACAGUUGCAGAUGGAGAACUGAACAGUGGUAUUAGUUGACCUAGGUUUUGGUCUACUUUUUAUUUUUUUACACCAUUAUCAUUCUGUACUUGGAUGUGUGACCUGGGGCCAAUAACCCAUUGUUUAAUUUUACUGGUAAAUAUAUACUAAAUAUUUUUUCAUUAUUUUUUUUUAAAUGGGAUGAAUUGAUCAGCUUGGUUUGAGUUGUCAAUAAAUCUAAAACAUCUUAGGUAAUAAUAAGAAGCUACAAAGACUGUUAAUAAUGUAAUGAAAUGAAUCCUCAUUUUGUACAUGUGUUACCUUUAUAUAUAAUGUCCAAAGAGCAAUAGUAUUUUAUUUUCUCAAUCUUGGUCAGAAAUUAUCUAUACUGAGGAACACUGUAUCAAUUUUUCACAAAUUCAUGGAUACCAAACUCUUGGCUUUUUGAAAGUGCAACAGAAAUUUAUUGCCUACAAUGAGAAAUUGUGUGAAUAAUCCUUGUUUAACAUUAAGAGCCAACCAUAUAGAAACACAUAUAGUGAAUUAAAGGAGACAAUAAGCACCAGUCCUGUGUGGUAUCUUUUUUAUACUAAUCAAAUUAAGUAUUUUAUUAUAGUUUGAAGAAUUCACAGCACUUCAAUAGAUGCUAUUAUAAUUUGUUUUAUGAGUCAGAGGAAAAUGGUGCAGAAACGAAGUCGCCCAGUCACUGAUUUACUAUUUAUGAAGUCAUUUGAUAGAAAUAUUACAGUUCAAGAAUAUAACAGAUGUGUGUGACAUGGUCCAUAAAAUUGCUCCCAGUAUUGACAUUGUACUGUGUGAGAUUCAAACAAGGAGACAAAGCCAGGGGAAAUGGAGAAUACCAGCACCUAAGUUGAAGAAGAUGCAGGAGUGGAUUGCUACAGGAAAUAGUAUUUUGAGAAUCAUCAGCUUAUAAACUCCUUAUGUCAAAUUCCUCAGUACAUUUUUGAGUGCUCAUCAUCUGACCUUUGACGGACUUCAUCUUAGCAGAAAAGGUGCUGAACAAUGUUAUAAAGUUAUUGUAGAAAAUACCAGUGUGCAUGACAAGCCAACACGUGACAGCCACUCAUCUUUUGCUUUUGAUUUGGAAGAUUUGCCAGUUCUUGGGGAUGUUAGAAUUAAGGAAACAUUGAAGAAAUUACAUAUGCAGAUAUUGUUCAGAACAAGGAAUAUAUCGGAUGUGUGUGACAUGGUCCAUGAAAUUGCUCCCAGUAUUGACAUUGUACUGUGUGAGAUUCCAACAAGGAGACAAGACAGGGGGAAAUGGAGAAUACCAGCACCUAAGUUGAAGAAGAUGCAGGAGUGGAUUGCUACAGGAAACAGUAUUUUGAGAAUCAUCAGCUUAUAUACACCAUAUGUCAAAUUCUGAAACUCCUCAGUACA